rnacentral:rRNA from 1 species
AAUCUGACCUCAAAUCAGGUAGGGCUACCCGCUGAACUUAAGCAUAUCAAUAAGCGGAGGAAAGGAAACUAACAAGGAUUCCCUUAGUAACGGCGAGUGAACCGGGAAGAGCUCAAAUUUGUAAUCUGGCGUGCUCUGUGCGUCCGAGUUGUAAUCUAUAGAAGUGUUUUCCGUGCCGGAUCGUGUCCAAGUUCCUUGGAAUAGGAUAUCAUAGAGGGUGACAAUCCCGUCCUUGACACGACUACCGGUGCUCUGUGAUACACUUUCUACGAGUCGAGUUGUUUGGGAAUGCAGCUCAAAAUGGGUGGUGAGUUCCAUCUAAAGCUAAAUAUUGGCGAGAGACCGAUAGCGAACAAGUACCGUGAGGGAAAGAUGAAAAGCACUUGAAAGAGAGUAAACAGUA